rnacentral:misc_RNA from 1 species
UUUUUGUUCAUCAUUGGCUUCACACUUUGUCGGAUAUAAACUCCUCGGAGGGGUUUCUUUUCAUUAACAGGGCCGUGAAUAACGAGUUGUUGGACACUUACCAGCUCAAGUCUCUGGACGGACUAUUGGAGUACGACAUCAACGAUUACAAGGUGGUCAGGCAGGGCGGACACCUGUACCUGAGAGAGAACCCACCCCCGGGCAGUCAAUGGGAGGAGUACGACAAUGACCCCCUUUUGACUCCAUACGACAAAAUCAUCAGAUGUCUUGGCUUCCAGUUUGAUUCUUCAAUUUUUAGAAAGUAUGACGGCUCUUUGUUGUGUGUAUUACUGAAAAUUUGUUUUUCUUAUUUCAGCUUAUCAACACGCUCACAUCGUAUAAUGCUUGUCAUUUCUUUGAUAGUCCACAUGCACGCUAACUUGAUGAGUUAAUUAAUAUAGAAUUAGAUAGUCUUUUUGCGUUAACUAUUGUUGCAGAGUGUCUGAUGUUGCUUCGAGGCCCUCACAGAAGUACCCAUUCAUAGACUAUGAUUACCGAUCCCCAGUGGUUGACGGUCUAUACUUCACAGGGACUAUAGCGCAUUCUCUUGACUACAGACAAUCAGCAGGGGGAUUCAUUCACGGUUUCCGAUAUUCAGCACGCGUUCUUUCUAAGAUAUUAAAUUGGCGAUACCAUCAAGAGAGAUGGCCAUCGGAGAUUCUCCCACUGUCAAACUUGACGACUGCCAUCAUCAGACGAGUGAACGAAGCUUCCGGUCUUUAUCAGAUGUUUGCGUACCUAGGAGAUAUCAUUCUCUUGAGCAAAGAUGGAUUGUGUGAAUACAUCGAAGAGUACCCCGUAAAGCUCAUACACAGGUUUAGUGAAGUGACGGGUAUUGAUACGCAAAACAAACAGGUGCUUGUUGUACUGUUACAAUAUGGCGAGGGUUUCCACGGACCGGAAGAGGAUGUGUUCCGGGUAGACAGGGCCGCCACCGACCCCGAGUACGCCGACUACUCGAAUUUCCUCCACCCUGUCGUCCAUUAUUUCCAAGAAAUCCCAAAGGAGCAAAAUAUAAGGAGAAAAAAAUGGAGUCAUCCCCUACCCCCCGCUGACAAGAUACACCACGUUUUGGAGGACUUCUCCGCUAACUGGGACAGGCCUCUGACCCAUGUAAAGCCACUGGAUGUGUUUUUGAGACGCACUUUGAAAGACCUGUACAACAUAAAAUGCGCGUCAACAACCAAUAUGUUUUCUCAGUAUUCAAUCUCGUCCAAGUCAUUGGACUCGCAGCACUGUAUUGCUACAUAAACAACAUGAAUAUGUAAAUAAAGUAUGUGUAUUAAAU